CAGUCGGGAUGAAGACUUCUCCACCCAGCCACCCCACUCCCUUAGUCUUCCUAGGUUACAGACUCUACCCCUCCCCUCAGCGAGGCCACUUCUAGUUAUGGAUAAAAUUGCGUACUACAGUAGGUAGGGUGGAUACUCAGAUAGUCCUGUACAACACCUAUACAAACUGUCUCAAUUCAUUAACAAACGAACUACCGAAGGACAAGAAAAAGAAGGGUUAUGAAGUCACGCAGAGCCGGGCGGUGGUGGCGCACACCUUUAAUACCAGCAUUCGGGAGGCAGAGGCAGGCGAAUUUCUGAGUUCGAGGCCAGACUGGUCUACAGAGUGGGUUCCAAGACAACCAGGGCUAUUCAAAGAAACCCUGUCUCAAAUUAAAAAAAAAAAAAAAAAAAAGAAAGUUGGUUGUUUUCUAACAACUUUUGAAAAGUAAUAAAACACUGUUCUUCCCCCAGGAA
ensembl:lincRNA 1700031P21Rik RIKEN cDNA 1700031P21 gene